AAUGAACAUAUGAGUGUAAUAAAGGCAUAAACAUAAAAAGAAACUAAAAUGCUAAAAGAAAAAAGUAAUAUAGCUAAAAGAAAUAAAAUGCCAAAAAAGGUCACACAUGAGUAUUGAACCCACCCCACUCAAGAAUAUGAACACUGCCCUUCUCCAACAGGCCACUCAUCAUUAUCUGCUACUAAGAUACUACGUUAAAUAUAUGAACCGGGCUAAAAAAAUAAAAUAAAAAAGAUUUUAAAAAAAAUAAUAAAAAAAAUAAGAAAAACAAGAUAAAUAUUUUUAUGGUUUUUGUAUUAAAAACAAAAUAAAUUAGAUAAUAAAAGAAAAUUUAAAAAAAGAAAGAAAAAAAACGAAAUGGAGACAGGAACUCGUCUUCCUCUCUUCUCCCCCACCUCACGAGCUCAACCUUCCCCAACAAUGGCCUUCUACCUCAGCAUCUCUAAAUCGAGAUCUUUCUCUGCUCUC
rnacentral:lncRNA from 1 species